rnacentral:rRNA from 1 species
UACGGAGGGUGCAAGCGUUAUCCGGAUUCACUGGGUUUAAAGGGUGCGUAGGUGGGUUGGUAAGUCAGUGGUGAAAUCUCCGUGCUUAACAUGGAAACUGCCAUUGAUACUACUGAUCUUGAAUUUUCGGGAGGUAAGCGGAAUAUGUCAUGUAGCGGUGAAAUGCUUAGAUAUGACAUAGAACACCAAUUGCGAAGGCAGCUUACUACAGGAAUAUUGACACUGAUGCACGAGAGCGUGGGGAUCAAACAGG